rnacentral:rRNA from 1 species
CCUACGGGAGGCAGCAGUGGGGAAUAUUGCACAAUGGGGGAAACCCUGAUGCAGCGACGCCGCGUGAGUGAAGAAGUAUUUCGGUAUGUAAAGCUCUAUUAGCCGGGAAGAAAAUGACGGUACAUGAUUAAGAAGCCCCGGCUAACUACGUGCCAGGAGCCGCGGGAAUUCGUAGGGGGCAAGCGAUAAACAGAUUUACUGGGUGUAAAGGGAGCGUAGACGGCAGCUCAAGUCUGAAGUGAAAUGCCGUGGCUUAACCCCGGAACUGCUUUGGAAACUGUGCAGCUAGAGUGCAGGAGAGGUAAGUGGAAUUCCUAGUGUAGCGUUGAAAUGCGUAGAUAUUAGGAGGAACACCAGUGGCGAAGGCGGCUUACUGGACUGUAACUGACGUUGAGGCUCGAAAGCGUGGGGAGCAAACAGGAUUAGAUACCCCAGUAGUC